rnacentral:rRNA from 1 species
AGUGAACGCUGGCGGUAGGCCUAACACAUGCAAGUCGAACGGCAGCACAGUAAGAGCUUGCUCUUACGGGUGGCGAGUGGCGGACGGGUGAGGAAUACAUCGGAAUCUACUUUUUCGUGGGGGAUAACGUAGGGAAACUUACGCUAAUACCGCAUACGACCUACGGGUGAAAGCAGGGGAUCUUCGGACCUUGCGCGAUUGAAUGAGCCGAUGUCGGAUUAGCUAGUUGGCGGGGUAAAGGCCCACCAAGGCGACGAUCCGUAGCUGGUCUGAGAGGAUGAUCAGCCACACUGGAACUGAGACACGGUCCAGACUCCUACGGGAGGCAGCAGUGGGGAAUAUUGGACAAUGGGCGCAAGCCUGAUCCAGCAAUACCGCGUGGGUGAAGAAGGCCUUCGGGUUGUAAAGCCCUUUUGUUGGGAAAGAAAAGCAGCAGGUUAAUACCUCGCUGUUCUGACGGUACCCAAAGAAUAAGCACCGGCUAACUUCGUG